rnacentral:rRNA from 1 species
CAAUUUUCCAAAGGUUGACCUCGGAUCAGGUAGGAAUACCCGCUGAACUUAAGCAUAUCAAUAAGCCGGAGGAAAGA